rnacentral:rRNA from 1 species
UACGUAGGCAGCGAGCGUUGUUCGGAGUUACUGGGCGUAAAGCGCACGUAGGCGGACUAUUAAGUCAGGGGUGAAAUCCCGGGGCUCAACCCCGGAACUGCCUUUGAUACUGGUAGUCUCGAGUCCGGAAGAGGUGAGUGGAAUUCCGAGUGUAGAGGUGAAAUUCGUAGAUAUUCGGAGGAACACCAGUGGCGAAGGCGGCUCACUGGUCCGGUACUGACGCUGAGGUGCGAAAGCGUGGGGAGCAAACAGG